rnacentral:rRNA from 1 species
GACGAACGCUGGCGGCGUGCUUAACACAUGCAAGUCGAACGGAAAGGCCCUGCUUUUGUGGGGUGCUCGAGUGGCGAACGGGUGAGUAACACGUGAGUAACCUGCCCUUGACUUUGGGAUAACUUCAGGAAACUGGGGCCAAUACCGGAUAGGAGCUCCUGCUGCAUGGUGGGGGUUGGAAAGUUUCGGCGGUUGGGGAUGGACUCGCGGCUUAUCAGCUUGUUGGUGGGGUAGUGGCUUACCAAGGCUUUGACGGGUAGGCGGCCUGAGAGGGUGACCGGCCACAUUGGGACUGAGAGACGGCGCAGACUCCUAUGGGAGGCAGCAGGGGGGAAUAUUGCACAAUGGGCGGAAGCCUGAUGCAGCAACGCCGCGUGCGGGAUGACGGCCUUCGGGUUGUAAACCGCUUUCGCCUGAGACGAAGCGUGAGUGACGGUAAUGGGUAAAGAAGCACCGGCUAACUACGUG